CCAUGAAGGUUGUCAGUGUCAUCCUGUGUAAUAGCAACACAAAGAGAGACUACAAAAGUUACGUUUCUGGCUAACUGUUUAUGCUGACUGAGAUGUGACAACCUGGGAUGUGACUUUUGUGCUUAAAAGCUCACCGUGAGAAAGGCUCAGGACUGCAUUUGGGCCCUGAACAUCCGGGGUAGUUGCUGACGGGCUAAUAAAGACUUCCUAUUGGCUUGA
rnacentral:sRNA from 1 species